rnacentral:rRNA from 1 species
GACGAACGCUGGCGGCGUGCUUAACACAUGCAAGUCGAACGGAAAGGCCCUGCUUUUGUUGGGUGCUCGAUUGGCGAACGGGUGAGUAACACGUGAGUAACCUGCCCUUGACUUUGGGAUAACUUCAGGAAACUGGGGCUAAUACCGGAUAUGAGCUCCUGCUGCAUGUUGGGGGUUGGAAAGUUUCGGCGGUUGGGGAUGGACUCGCGGCUUAUCAGCUUGUUGGUGGGGUAGUGGCUUACCAAGGCUUUGACGGGUAGCCGGCCUGAGAGGGUGACCGGCCACAUUGGGACUGAGAUACGGCCCAGACUCCUACGGGAGGCAGCAGUGGGGAAUAUUGCACAAUGGGCGGAAGCCUGAUGCAGCAACGCCGCGUGCGGGAUGACGGCCUUCGGGUUGUAAACCGCUUUCGCCUGUGACGAAGCGUGAGUGACGGUAAUGGGUAAAGAAGCACCGGCUAACUACGUG